CCUACGGGGUGCAGCAGUAGGGAAUCUUUCACAAUGGGCGAAAGCCUGAUGGAGCAACGCCGCGUGCAGGAUGAAGGCCUUCGGGUUGUAAACUGCUUUUAUAAGCGAGAAAUAUGAUGGUAACUUAUGAAUAAGGAUCGGCUAACUACGUGCCAGCAGCCGCGGUCAUACGUAGGAUCCGAGCAUUAUCCGGAGUGACUGGGUGUAAAGAGUUGCGUAGGUGGCAUAAUAAGUAGCUAGUGAAAUCUGGUGGCUAAACCAUUCAGACUAUUAGGUAAACUGUUAAGCUCGAGACCGUUAGGGGUAACUGGAAGUUCUAGUGUAGGAGUGAAAUCCGUAGAUAUUAGAAGGAACACCAAUAGCGUAGGCAGGUUGCUGGGACGGUUCUGACACUAAGGCACGAAAGCGUAGGGAGCAAACGGGAUUAGAUACCCCAGUAGUC
rnacentral:rRNA from 1 species